UACGUAGGGCGCAAGCGUUGUCCGGAAUUAUUGGGCGUAAAGGGCUCGUAGGCGGUUUGUCGCGUCGGGAGUGAAAUCAUCUGGACUUUGAACUGGGUGCUUGCUUUCGAUACGGGCAGGACUAGAGGUAUGCAGGGGGAGAACGGAAUUCCUGGUGUAGCGGUGAAAUGCGCAGAUAUCAGGAGGAACACCGGUGGCGAAGGCGGUUCUCUGGGCAUGAUCUGACGCUGAGGAGCGAAAGUGUGGGGAGGCGAACAGG
rnacentral:rRNA from 1 species